GCAAUCAGCGAGACUCCGUGGGCAUAGGACCCUCCGAGCCAGGUGCAGGAUAUAAUCUUGUGGUGCGCCGUUUUUUAAGCCUGUCCGAAAAGCGCAAUAUUCGCGUGGGAGUGACCCGAUUUUCCAGGAUGCCCACUGGAUCCAAAGAGAGAAACUCUAUAGAAUUAUGAUCUAGGUUUGACUGACUCCUGGCAAGAAGCCCUACCCGCCAGCCAAUUUGGAUGAGCUCUUAUGCUCCAGAUCCAUCAUGAGAAGAACAUGCCCUGGAUUCCUGCUAUCCCUUUAGCCAUGGCUCCAAAAUUAACACACACAAGGAAGACCUGAGGUCAAUC
rnacentral:lncRNA from 10 species